rnacentral:rRNA from 1 species
UACGUAGGGUGCAAGCGUUAAUCGGAAUUACUGGGCGUAAAGCGUGCGCAGGCGGUUUCUUAAGUCAGAUGUGAAAGCCCCGGGCUUAACCUGGGAACUGCGUUUGAAACUGGGAGACUUGAGUGUGGCAGAGGGGGGUGGAAUUCCACGUGUAGCAGUGAAAUGCGUAGAUAUGUGGAGGAACACCGAUGGCGAAGGCAGCCCCCUGGGCUAAGACUGACGCUGAGGCACGAAAGCGUGGGGAGCAAACAGG